GGGCGCGUAGCUCAGCGGGAGAGCACUACGUUGACAUCGUAGGGGUCGUUGGUUCAAUCCCAACCGUGCCCACCA
rnacentral:tRNA from 1 species